CGUCUGUCUGUCCAGGUGAGAGAGACGCCGUCCCGUGUGUGCAGACUGAGCCCGCCCGCCCCUUCGGGCGUCCCCCAGCCCUCGGAGUGCCAGUGCCGGAGCCGGAUGGCUGGUGAGAGGGUUCCCUCUCACCGAGAGGACAGUGCAGCGAGGGACGAAGCCCGGGCGAGGAGGCGGCGCCGGCGUCCCCGCGCGCCCGGGAGGGGCCUCCGGCAGCGGGGCGAAGCGUAGAGGCAGGUCGCGAGCGCCCGCGCCGAGGAGGGCACGGCAGCGCCAGGGCGCCGAGACGCCGUCGCUGGAGCCGGGCUGGCCACCGCCGCGCCGGGAGGGAGGGCUGUGGCGGGUCGCGUGCCCCGCUGCAGGUGCCCCCUCUCGUGUCCACGGUGCCCCCGCCGCCGUCCCGGCCAGGCCGUGCCGGGGAUGACCUGGGGGCUGGGGCCGUCGGGCACGAGACGGUCCCCUCGCGCCCCUCAGACGCCCUGGAGAAGGGCCUGGCUCCCCUGAGGCCUCUCGCUCUCUGCGGCGCUGCCCAGGGGAGCCGCUGUCCCCAGAUGCCCUCACGCAGCUCCGCUCCGGCCUCCCCGAGCCCAGCCAGGCCGGGGGCAAGCACGUCUCGCGUCCCGGGAUGAUGUGAGACAGCCCCUUCCCCCCCCCCACCCCGUGUUCCUCACUGGCACCUCUCACUUCAGGGCACUGCCCUGAGCCCGGCCCCAUGGCGGGAUGGCACUAGGGAAGGCGCCAUUGGGGUCAGCAGUGGGCCAGACCCCCAGCCCUCCCCAUGGAGGAGCAAGGCCUCACGGGUAGAGGGCUGUGCCAGGCUCCUGUGUUCCCCCAUUUUGCUGGCAGGGAGGUGCCAGUUCGGACACUCCUGCUCAGCGCUGGGCCUCGGUUUCCCGACUGCCCUGGGCAGCAGGGCGUCCCCACCCGAGCUGCCCCACGCCCCGCCUCGAAUGCCCCCCAAGCCCCAUGUCCUUGACAGCGCCCUGUGUCCAGCCCCCUCGUGCAGCCCCCGAGGU